UACAGAGACUGCAAGCGUUAUUCGGGUUCACUGGGCGUAAAGGGUGCGCAGGCGGUUGGGUGUGUCAGAUGUGAAAUCCCGAGGCUCAACCUCGGAACUGCGUCUGAAACUACUCGACUAGAGUACUGGAGAGGGUAACGGAAUUCACGGUGUAGCAGUGAAAUGCGUAGAUAUCGUGAGGAACACCAGAGGCGAAGGCGGUUACCUGGACAGUUACUGACACUGAGGCGCGACAGCGUGGGGAGCAAACAGG
rnacentral:rRNA from 1 species